rnacentral:tRNA from 1 species
GGACCCGUAGCUCAGCUGGGAGAGCGCCGCCCUUACAAGGCGGAUGUCGGCGGUUCGAGCCCGUCCGGGUCCA